rnacentral:rRNA from 1 species
GACGAACGCUGGCGGCGUGCCUAAUACAUGCAAGUAGAACGCACAGUUUAUACCGUAGCUUGCUACACCAUAGACUGUGAGUUGCGAACGGGUGAGUAACGCGUAGGUAACCUGCCUGGUAGCGGGGGAUAACUAUUGGAAACGAUAGCUAAUACCGCAUAAUAUUGAUUAUUGCAUGAUAAUUAAUUGAAAGGUGCAAUUGCACCACUACCAGAUGGACCUGCGUUGUAUUAGUUAGUAGGUGAGGUAACGGCUCACCUAGGCGACGAUACAUAGCCGACCUGAGAGGGGGAUCGGCCACACUGGGACUGAGACACGGCCCAGACUCCUACGGGAGGCAGCAGGAGGGAAUCUUCGGCAAUGGACGAAAGGCUGACCGAGCAACGCCGCGGGAGGGAAGAAGGGUUUCGGAUCGUAAAGCUCUGUUGUAAGAGAAGAACGGGUGUGAGAGUGGAAAGUUCACACUGUGACGGUAGCUUACCAGAAAGAGACGGCUAACUACGUG